rnacentral:pre_miRNA from 15 species
ACGAUCUUCAAUUGAAACGCUCCCGUGACCUACCCUGUAGUUCCGGGCUUUUGUUUAUAUUGCGUUCGAUGCAUUGUCGGACUGCUGGCUCGAUUAUCAGAAGCUCGUCUCUACAGGUAUCUCACAGGGUAGAAAGAAACAACAUUUCGAAG